rnacentral:pre_miRNA from 1 species
UAUCGCGUCAAAAUGACUGUGAGCUAUGUAUUUUUGAUCUCAUAUCACAGCCAUUUUGACGAGUUUGA